rnacentral:rRNA from 1 species
UGAAUACGAGACGCUAAGGCGUCGAAGUAGUGUAUGUCAUACUUCCAAGAAAAGCUUGCACUGUCAUAGAUAAAAAACGCCUGUACCAUAACCGACACAGUUGGGUAGGUAGAGUAUACUAAGGGGCGCGAGAUAACUCUCUCUAAGGAACUCGGCAAAAUAACUCCGUAACUUCGGGAGAAGGAGUGCCUUAUUCGUAAGGUUGCAAUAACAAGAUCCAAGCAACUGUUUAUCAAAAACACAGGUCUCCGCUAAGUCGUAAGACGAUGUAUGGGGGCUGACGCCUGCCCAGUGCCAGAGGGUUAAAGAAGUUGGUUAGCAAUUGCGAAGCUGAUAACUGAAGCCCUGGUGAACGGCGGCCGUAACAAUAACGGUCCUAAGGUAGCGAAAUUCCUUGUCGGGUAAGUUCCGACCCGCACGAAAGGCGUAAUGAUUUGGAUACUGUCUCGGAGAGGGGCUCGGUGAAAUAGACUUGUCUGUGAAGAUGCGGACUACCUGCACCAGGACAGAAAGACCCUAUGAAGCUUUACUGUAACUUGAAAUUGAAAUUGGACUUUAUUCGCGCAGUAUAGGUGGGAGGCGUUGAUUAUAAUCUUGUGGGAUUAUUGGAGCCAUCAGUGAGAUACCACUCUUGUAAUGUUAGAUUUCUAACUUUGAAUCAUUAUCUGGUCAAAGAACAGUUUCAGGCGGGCAGUUUGACUGGGGCGGUCGCCUCCUAAACGGUAACGGAGGCGUACAAAGGUUUCCUCUGAACGGUUAGAAAUCGUAUCUAGAGUGUAAAGGCAUAAGGAAGCUUGACUGUGAGACCUACAAGUCGAGCAGGGACGAAAGUCGGUCUUAGUGAUCUGACGGUACUGAGUGGAAAGGCCGUCACUCAACGGAUAAAAGUUACUCUAAGGAUAACAGGCUGAUCUCCCCCAAGAGUUCACAUCGACGGGGAGGUUUGGCACCUGAUGUCGGCUCAUCGCAUCCUGGGGCGGUAGUACAUCCCAAGGGUUGGGCUGUUCGCCCAUGAAAGCGGUACGCGAGCUGGGUUCAGAACGUCGUGAGACAGUUCGGUCCAUAUCCGGUGUAGGCGUUAGAAUAUUGAGAGGAGCCUUCUUUAGUACGAGAGGACCGAGAAGGACAUACCUCUGGUGUACCAGUUAUCGUGCCAACGGUAAACGCUGGGUAGCUAUGUAUGGAGUGGAUAACCGCUGAAAGCAUCUAAGUGGGAAGCCCACCUCAAGAUAAGUAUUCUC